AAAAUAUAACUUUGCUCUUCAGAGAGUGUCAACCUGGUAUACUUGGCAUGAAUCUCUACAUGAUACUGUUCUCUUUUAUCUCAGGGCCUAUGAUGUGUUGCCAAAAGGGAAUUAUGAGGUCUUCGUCGAAACUGUGGAAUUCCGACGACAGCCAAACUGGAAAAAUUGAAAGUCAACAUUACAACUGAAGUGAAACAGGGGGAAACGCAUGAAAAGUAGCUGCUGCCUUGGCUAAUGGGGAUCCGUAAUACAUACAAAUGCAAGACAACUAAGUAACUCAAGCUCUGAAAGCUCCUUCAUGCCAACGAACACUAUAUUCAAGUCGGGAUAUUGAGUCACUAAUGUACUAUAAAGGAUGUUUGACUACAUCCACUAGGGUGCACUGUAAGUCAAGUGAAAAGAGGAACAAGCCCGUGUGGUAUUCUACAAUCAUGAAACAAAUAACAUAUCUUGUAUGUAGCUAAGAAGCAAGUCAUUCAGAAAAUGUCUUGUUUCUUAAAAAUAAAAAAUACUUUGCUAUUUGGACAAAUCAAUAAAUACCACAAAAGGGACUUUUCAUGACACCAGUUGAAGGCACUGGCAGGAACACAUGGAAGUAUUUUCAGCCUGUGAGGAUCAGCCAGAAAGGAAAGCCACUAUCCCCUCCCUGAAUCCCAGCCUAACAGCCGGCCAUUUUGGUCCUCCACUGUGACUCAUGGGGAUGCACAUUAUCAGCUGCUGAGUAGUGUCAUUCAUUGAGGAACUGAUCUGAUACAGAUUUGAUUUCUGUAUGCGCUGCUCUAACCAUACAAAGGAGGAGCAAUACUUAGAUAUUAAACUCCAGCACACACCGUUUGUGACCUUUUUGAUAAACUAAUCAAUUAUAAUCAGUUAAAUUUGUUCAUAUGUUGCUGCAAUGUUUGGUAUGUUAUACUGUGUGUGAUUGCUAAGGAGCCUUGCCACAAAUGUGAGUCAUUUAUUUAAUUCAACAAUGUUUUUGAGAUCUGUUUUAAGAGCUAACAUAUCCCUGCUCUUGUUAUGACAUGAUUUGCUAAGCAGUAGCUACAGCUCCUUUGUUAGUACAAAUGAUAUUCAACAUGUGUUUAGUUUCCUUUGGAGGGCUAGAGCCUUGGCCUAACAGGAGAAUACAUAUGUAACUGAAUUUUAAACUUGGUUGGGGCAAUCCAACAAUGUUUUUUAUAUAUAUAUAUAUAUAUAUAUAUAUGCAGUAUCAGUCAAAAGUUUGGACACCUACUCAUU